UUUUAUUUGUAUGUUAGAAGUAUGUAUCUUGACCGUGGUGAUGGAUUUAAAAUUAUAGAUAUCUUUUAAGAUCGGGGUCAGUGAGUAUUUUUGGCGGAGCGGUUCUUGCUAUGAUAUUCUAUUUUUACUUAACCUUGGCUGCACAAAUUCAAAUCAAUCGAUUUUGGAGGAUAUCUAUGCAAUCUAAAGAAAUGCAUUUUAUAACAGGAAUUGACUUCAGAUUAUAAUCAAUUGUUAUCAGAUUUUGAUUAUUCAGUAAUCAGUUUAUUCAUCAAUGAAUAAUGUUAUAAUCAGUUUACCUUAUAUUCAACUAAUUUCUUGAAACGCUUGUUCAAACAUUUAUAUAUUCUAGUAGUAAAGUGCAUUUAUGAAAUACCUGAAUUAUGAUUAUUUGCAUGCGCUAAAUAUGUAAUAAAUAACUAAUGAUAUAUUUCAAUGCUUCUAGUUCUCCUAAAUAUUGCCCUCGCAGAAAGAAGGAGGUCAGAAGCAACCCCUAUUUGGAAGCAUUCGGGACAUGAAGUGAGAAGAUUAGGAAUAGUUCUAGAAUAAUCUUAUUGGCGUUAUUAGGACUUAGAAUUAAAACUUAACGUUCCUCGAACAAGUUAUGCUUGAAAUUAGACUCUUAAUUUAUUGGAAGAAGGAAUUGGAUGUGCUUUUCUAAGCACACGAAAGUUAAGCGUAAUGAUUUAGAAGAAUAGUCUAUCCUGACUUUAAAAAGGUGUGAGACUGCUUUUGUUUAACCUCUUUUCUAUGUUUUUACCUCUAUGGUUCUUUUUUCAACAGCCUGUACUAUUUCAGUAUGUUCUCAUAAAAUACUCCUUUUCUGAAAUUAUCAAAAAAUGACUCAUUUUCUUUCAAACAUAUGACUUCUUGCUCUAUUUAACAACAACAUUAAGUACUCCCGAAAUGCAAUUAUACCUAGUGUCAAUGUUGACUAUAAAAGUUUCCUUUUAACGCCAAUUUAUGUUAAUAAUUCAUCACAAGACUUAAUUAAAUAUUUAUUGAAAAUCCAGUGACGUGUUGAGCUUAAUUUUACAAUUUUAUACAGGGUAAGGCUAAACAUUAACGGGUAGGUAUGGACUACCAGUAAUUUUACUACUCAAUGUCAACUGUCUGUCGCUAACCUGUAAUAUUGCCCCGAAUGGCAAAUUAGAAUAAAAUUGUAUCAAAAAGAGUUCCUUUAGUUUUGAAUUUGGAAUUUUGAUGAAGCCAUCAUCAACAUAAGCAUUGACGAUUGAAAUUAACAAUACUGGUCUUGAUGAAAAAAUUGGCGGGGUUUAGUUUCAUUCAUAAUCUUUUUUUGCCUACUUUUAGAUGUUCAGCUUUACCCUCCGUUUUGUCUGCGUUUAGAGAAUAAGAUUAAUUGAUAAGUAAAUAACUACUUUUACUUGUAUUGCUUUUUAGUGUAACAACACUAAAAAGCAAUAGGCAUUUGGACACAUAUUCUUUUCAAGUAUUUUUUUCAGAUUUCAGUUUCUAGCAAGAUUCAUAUUUUUAUUAAACAGGCAACUGAAAGGAUUGUUCAGAAUGAUUGUCACGUCAGUAUAGCGUUAUUGUCUUCUAUCGAUCUUCCAUUGAUGUCGUAAAUCUAGCUAAAAUUAUAACUAGAAAUUAGACUCCAUAAUUAAUUUCUCGUUUUCUUAAAUUAAGACAAACAUGUUCAAAAGUCUAUUGUACAAAUGUGUAUUUAAAAGGCAUGAAUGAAUAUAUACUUAAAAUUGUAAAACCGUAUGAAUUUCAUACAUAAAACUUAAUAUUUCUCUAGUCACCUGCAGUAGGGAAUACAAAAAUGUGCAAUAGUAACCCUCCAUUUAAAUAUAUUUUUUAUUUGAUUUGAACGGAUUUUUAUGGAUUUCAAUAAAUUCUGAAACACUAAAGUUUUAUUACAUAUCGUCAAAAUUUUAGUUACUAUUCGAUUGUAAAAAGGUUUUAUCACGCGAUGAAAAAAAUGCUGUAUUGUUGAUGGAUCAUUGUUGUAGAUUAUCUGUGUUCUGUAAUUAUUCUUAUCGUUACGGUCAUUAUUUAUCCAAGGUUAGAUUCAGUUUGAUACAAUCCCAAUUGUAUUUGGCUGCUGCCCAACAAACUAACUUAACAAAAAACCGGGGUUUCAGUAAAAUAUCAACAUUAGAAUACAAUAGAGAUUUUUAUGAUUAUAAUUUUAGUAUCAGUGUAUGAAAGGAGGACUUGUAUGUUUAACAAAAUUAUGAUUAUUUCAUAACCUCAUGUAAAUUGUUGAGACAUUGUUUUUAUACAUAACUAAAUAUAAGUUAAUUUGGUCACAAACGGAUUGGUACAAUGUUAAGUAUUAUUAGAUAUAAUAAUUAUAUCUAGGUGCUCAGUUCUGGCAACACUUCAAUAAUUUAGUUCCUUUCGCCGUUAUUCCUGUGGUAAUGGCCGACGCACUACAUACUUUGUAUCUUAUUUAUAUAAUUAUUUGAAAUGUGCCCCAAUACUGGAUUUGUACACGUACAAGACCUGUAAACUUUUAAGCUAAUUUUAUUUUUUGAGUUUUGCUUUUAUUUAUUUUACAAUUAGAUAAUAUUUUAAACAGGUUUUAGGUUAUGAUUAUAGAGCAUUUGUUCUGGUUCUAUUAUUUAUUUAAUGCGAACCGUUUGUUAUACUCUUAUUCAUUUUAAUUAUAGAAAAGAUCUAAAUAGGUGUCCAAUAUUUUUGAUAAAUAUUUUUUUGAAAAUUCCCGUUUUCUAUGAUUUAUGAUGUAUGUAAUUAAAACAGAGUUACUCCAGUAAUUGACUCAAACAAUCAAACAACGAAGAAAUAAUACUGAAUCAAGUUUUAAUAUAUAAUUUAAUUAAGUUAAUAGCAACCAAUAAAAUCACUUGAAAAAGUGACUUGCAUUCCACGUAUCGAUUCUAGAGUUAAUUAAUUCUUAUCUAAACAAUAAAAUCGAGAACGGUUGAUUAAAACACCUCAAUAGUUUUCAUACGCUCUGUAAAAACCGUAAAAAAAAAACAAUUUAUAGGAAAAGUAUAGGAGUUACUGUCUGUGAUUAUUAGUUUCAAUUAUCAUGACAAUUUCAUUUUUAUGUUAUUUUAUUUUUAAUAAAUGUAUUAACUUAU
rnacentral:misc_RNA from 1 species